AAAGAACAGAUAGCAGAUCAGAGAGAGUAUAAGAAGAAAAAAGCCCAGAAAAAGGUUCUGAGGAUGAAGGAAUUGGAGACAGAGAGGGAGGAACAAAAGUCAAAGUGGCAGAAUUUCAACAACAAAGCCUACUCAAAGAACAAGAAAGGACAGGUCAAGCGAAGCAUAUUUGCAUCUCCAGAAAGCGUCUCUGGAAAGGUGGGAGUUGGAACAUGUGGUAUUGCAGACAAGCCAAUGACACAGUACAGUGACACAGCAAAAUAUAAUGUUAGACAUCUAAUGCCACAAUGACCUGAUAUAUUCUGUAUAUACUGAUCCACUGUAUACUUCCUGUAUCAGUGCUUUCCAUUGUGUUUAUACAAGUCUCAUUUCCCAGGUAAAGAAAGCUUUGAAAGGAAUUGCUUGCACACCAUGUUUGAAAUAUUGAUGUAGUUUUCUUAUAUAUUACAAAGUACAACAGAAAAAUCCCAGAUUUUCACAGCACUGGAACAAAGUCCCCUGUUGUGUAAGAACAGGAAGUGGUGUUUUAGAUCAACCUUGUAGUUUGUUGUUUGUGUUCAGGUUCCACUGAGGCCAAAUACCUGCUAAAACGAGAAUAAAUAUACACCUGCAGAUUUGUUUUGUUGUACAUUUGAAGCUGUAUUUUGAACACUGACCCAUUGUGGGGUGGGGGUAUACACUUCAAUAAUGAUGUUGAUUUGACAUCUCUGAAUUUACGUUUUUAAUUUCUCUGUAUAUAACAGUCCAAUAAACAUUGUUUUGUUUUCAGUUUUUUU